UUGCAGUAUCUCGGUAUUAAAGAAUAUAAACAUAAACCAACCAUGUCACGGAUAUGUGUGAAAAACUUGCCCAAGUAUGUGGCAGAGGACCGUCUGAGAGAGUUCUUCUCCCAGAAAGGGGAAGUCACCGACGCCAUGCUUAUGCGCACCAAGGAUGGGAAGAGCAGACAAUUUGGAUUUGUUGGAUUUAGGACUGAGCAUGAAGCCGAGGAAGCCACAAACUACUUCAACAAGUCUUUCCUGGAUACUUGCAGAAUUACUUG